GACGAACGCUGGCGGCGUGCCUAAUACAUGCAAGUAGAACGCUGAAGAGAGGAGCUUGCUCUUCUUGGAUGAGUUGCGAACGGGUGAGUAACGCGUAGGUAACCUGCCUGGUAGCGGGGGAUAACUAUUGGAAACGAUAGCUAAUACCGCAUAACAGUAGAUGUUGCAUGACAUUUGCUUAAAAGGUGCAAUUGCAUCACUACCAGAUGGACCUGCGUUGUAUUAGCUAGUUGGUGAGGUAACGGCUCACCAAGGCGACGAUACAUAGCCGACCUGAGAGGGUGAUCGGCCACACUGGGACUGAGACACGGCCCAGACUCCUACGGGAGGCAGCAGUAGGGAAUCUUCGGCAAUGGACGGAAGUCUGACCGAGCAACGCCGCGUGAGUGAAGAAGGUUUUCGGAUCGUAAAGCUCUGUUGUAAGAGAAGAACGAGUGUGAGAGUGGAAAGUUCACACUGUGAC
rnacentral:rRNA from 1 species